GCGGGUGUAGUUUAGUGGUAAAACUACAGCCUUCCAAGCUGUUGUCGCGAGGUCGAUUCUCGUCACCCGCU
rnacentral:tRNA from 1 species